rnacentral:rRNA from 1 species
AGCGAACGCUGGCGGCAGGCCUAACACAUGCAAGUCGAACGAACCCUUCGGGGUUAGUGGCGGACGGGUGAGUAACACGUGGGAACGUGCCUUUAGGUUCGGAAUAACUCAGGGAAACUUGUGCUAAUACCGAAUGUGCCCUUCGGGGGAAAGAUUUAUCGCCUUUAGAGCGGCCCGCUUCUGAUUAGCUAGUUGGUGAGGUAAAGACUCACCAAGGCGACGAUCAGUAGCUGGUCUGAGAGGAUGAUCAGCCACAUUGGGACUGAGACACGGAACAAACGCCUCCGGGAGGCAGCAGUGGGGAAUCUUGCGCAAUGGGCGAAAGCCUGACGCAGCCAUGCCGCGUGAAUGAUGAAGGUCUUAGGAUUGUAAAAUUCUUUCACCGGGGACGAUAAUGACGGUACCCGGAGAAGAAGCCCCGGCUAACUUCGUGCCAGCAGCCGCCGCCGUAA